rnacentral:rRNA from 1 species
UACGUAGGUGGCAAGAGUUGUCCGGAAUUAUUGGGCGUAAAGCGCGCGCAGGCGGUGCGGUAAGUGACUUGUGAAAAUGCCCGGCUAAACUGGGCGAGGUCAGGUCAGACUGCCGUGCUAGAGGGUGGUAGAGGAGCGCGGAAUUCGGGGUGUAGCGGUGAAAUGUGUAGAGAUCCCGAUGAACACCAGUGGCGCAAGCGGGGCUCGGGGCCACUAGUGACUCGGGGGCGCGAAAGCUUGGGGAGCGAACGGG